rnacentral:rRNA from 1 species
UACAGAGGUCUCAAGCGUUGUUCGGAUUCAUUGGGCGUAAAGGGUGCGUAGGCGGCGCGGUAAGUCGGGUGUGAAAUCUCGGAGCUUAACUCCGAAACUGCAUUCGAUACUGCCGUGCUUGAGGACUGGAGAGGAGACUGGAAUUUACGGUGUAGCGGUGAAAUGCGUAGAUAUCCGAAGGAACGCCGGUGGCGAAAGCGACGGGCUGGAUCUCUUCUGACGCUGAGGCGCGAAAGCUAGGGUAGCGAACGGG